rnacentral:rRNA from 1 species
GAUUGGUAAUGGGCGGAAGCCUGAACCAGCCAUGCCGCGUGCAGGAAGACGGCCCUACGGGUUGUAAACUGCUUUUGUACCAGAAUAAACCCCCGGUCGUGACCGGGGCUGAAUGUAUGGUAAGAAUAAGGAUCGGCUAACUCCGUGCCAGCAGCCGCGGUAAUACGGAGGAUCCAAGCGUUAUCCGGAUUUAUUGGGUUUAAAGGGUGCGUAGGCGGCCUGUUAAGUCAGGGGUGAAAGACGGUAGCUCAACUAUCGCAGUGCCCUUGAUACUGAUGGGCUUGAAUGUACUUGAGGUAGGCGGAAUGUGACAAGUAGCAGUGAAAUGCAUAGAUAUGUCACAGAACACCAAUUGCGNAAGGCAGCUUACUAAAGUAUGAUUGACGCUGAGGCACGAAAGCGUGGGGAUCAAACAGGAUUAGNAUACCCUGGUAGUCCCGCCCUAAACGAUGAAUACUCGAUGUUAGCGAUAUACAGUUAGCGGUCNAAACCGAAANGCGGUUUAANUUUU